rnacentral:rRNA from 1 species
GGAAUCUUGGACAAUGGGGGCAACCCUGAUCCAGCGACGCCGCGUGGGUGAUGAAGGCCUUCGGGUUGUAAAGCCCUUUCACCGGGGACGAUGAUGACGGUACCCGGAGAAGAAGCCACGGCUAACUUCGUGCCAGCAGCCGCGGUAAUACGAAGGUGGCAAGCGUUGUUCGGAUUUACUGGGCGUAAAGAGCACGUAGGCGGUUGGGUAAGCCUCUUGGGAAAUCUCCCGGCUUAACCGGGAAAGGUCGAGGGGAACUACUCAGCUAGAGGACGGGAGAGGAGCGCGGAAUUCCCGGUGUAGCGGUGAAAUGCGUAGAUAUCGGGAAGAAGGCCGGUGGCGAAGGCGGCGCUCUGGAACGUACCUGACGCUGAGGUGCGAAAGCGUGGGGAGCAAAC